UCAAAGAGAUAUUCCGCCAAGCUAGAUUCGGGUGCUCCCAUCUUGCACAAGUUGGUCAUGUGGUCACCCAAUUCUUUGAUGGCUUUGACCUGCUCAUUCAGCCCGCUCUCCCAGUCAUCACAGUCCGGUUUCUUGAUAUCCUGAAGGAAGAUUCGGCCACCUCCUUGGUUCUGCAGCUUCAUCAGUUUCUCAGCAUGUUCCCUCUCCUCAUGAGAUUGGUGAAGAAAGUAUUUGGCAAAGUUCUUCAAAGCCACAUCAUCGCGGUCAAAGUAGUAAGACAUGGACAGGUAAACGCAGGAGGCGUAGAGCUCCAGGUUGAUCUGGCGGUUGAUGGCGGCCUUUAGUCCUGGUGGUAGUCCUGGCGCACCUGUGAGGUGGACGCGGUCGUCAUGGCGGCGACUAAGGAGAGGCGGCUGCGUUCGCGGUGGUGACUGCGCAGUGCUGGAGCGGCGGCGGGGGCCUUGGGGCAGUCCGAGGGCGCGGUGAGGAGGUGACGGAGGGCUGGCUAUGGGCAGCCGGCCGGUGUGGGGGACGAGCGCCAGGUUCUGUCCAAGCACUGUUGAAGCAGGAAACCCCGACGACUCUCGUGGAAGAACGUCCAUCUCUCUACUUUUAAGCUAAGUUGAAGCAGUCUGUUAUCCUCACUGAUACUCACUUCCAUCACCACUAUUUUCCCCACUGUGAAAUGACUAAAAUACCAUCCACCACUCCUGCUCUGAGAAUUAAAAGAUAACCUACACAGAGCCUGGCACAUAGGAAGCAUUCAGUGAACUUUUUUUCCUUUUCCUUCUCUUGUCCUUAAAAAUAUACAACAUGAAAUUAAAUAGGAUGUAGUCACACUAUUGAAAUAAAUUUUCUUGUAGCAAA
ensembl:lncRNA novel transcript